GCCGGGCGCGGUGGCGGGCGCCUGUAGUCCCAGCUACUCGGGAGGCUGAGGCAGGAGAAUGGUGUCAACCCAGGAGACGGAGCUUGCAGUGAGCCAAGAUCGCGCCACUGCAAGCUCCGUCUCCUGGGUUGACGCCAUUCUCCUGCCUCAG
rnacentral:SRP_RNA from 1 species